AUUGAACGCUGGCGGCAGGCCUAACACAUGCAAGUCGAACGAGUGGCGGACGGGUGAGUAAUGUCUGGGAAACUGCCUGAUGGAGGGGGAUAACUACUGGAAACGGUAGCUAAUACCGCAUACCAUCAGAUGUGCCCAGAUGGGCUUAGCUAGUUGGUGGGGUAAAGGCUCACCAAGGCGACGAUCCCUAGCUGGUCUGAGAGGAUGACCAGCCACACUGGAACGUAGACACGGUCCAUACUCCAACGUGAGGCAGCAGUGGGGAAUAUUGCACAAUGGGCGCAAGCCUGAUUCAGCCAUGCCGCGUGUAUGAAGAAGGCCUUCGGGUGUUAAAGUACUUUCAGCGGGGAGGCGUUACCCGCAGAAGAAGCACCGGCUAACUCCGUGCCAGCCGCCGCGGUAAUAC
rnacentral:rRNA from 1 species